rnacentral:rRNA from 1 species
UACGUAGGGUGCAAGCGUUAAUCGGAAUUACUGGGCGUAAAGCGUGCGCAGGCGGUUUGGUAAGACAGAUGUGAAAUCCCCGGGCUCAACCUGGGAAUUGCAUUUGUGACUGCCCGACUAGAGUGUGUCAGAGGGGGGUAGAAUUCCACGUGUAGCAGUGAAAUGCGUAGAGAUGUGGAGGAAUACCGAUGGCGAAGGCAGCCCCCCUGGGAUAACACUGACGCUCAUGCACGAAAGCGUGGGGAG